CCGAGGCAUAAUGAAGGAACAAAUCAAUUGAUGGAUGUGUGCAAACGUGCCACUGGGCUGGGAAUGAAGGAUUAGCCGCUUCUUGAAUAUUUGAACAAGAUUGAAAGCGACAGCGUUGAAGGGCGAAUUAGCACCGAGACUGUCACAUAGUGGGACGGACAGAGGAUGUGCGCAGCAGGAGUGAUGAUUGGACGAGCGGUGUGGAGGGGCGUGGUCAAGGGUGAAUAACACAGUUGUCUUUUCUUCAUGGUAAGAGAGAGAGGUGGCCUUCUCUUCAUGGAGGGAUAGCAAGACAGAGGAGCAGUC